CUGUGUCGUUUAGGUCGUGUCUUGUGCAACUUGUGGUUUUUUCAUUAGUCAAAUUGCACUUGUCCCGGCCUGCAAGGCACAG